rnacentral:rRNA from 1 species
GUCCACGCCCUAAACGAUGUCAACUGGUUGUUGGAGGAGUUAAAUCCUUUAGUAACGAAGCUAACGCGUGAAGUUGACCGCCUGGGAAGUACGGCCGCAAGGUUAAAACUCAAAGGAAUUGACGGGGGCCCGCACAAAGCGGUGGAUUAUGUGGAUUAAUUCGAUGCAACGCGAAAAAACCUUACCUACCCUUGACAUGCUAGGAACUUGCCAGAGAUGGCUUGGUGCCCGAAAGGGAGCCUAGACACAGGUGCUGCAUGGCUGUCGU